rnacentral:rRNA from 1 species
UACGAAGGGGGCUAGCGUUGCUCGGAAUCACUGGGCGUAAAGCGCACGUAGGCGGCUUGUUAAGUCAGGGGUGAAAUCCUGGAGCUCAACUCCAGAACUGCCUUUGAUACUGGCGAGCUUGAGUCCGGGAGAGGUGAGUGGAACUGCGAGUGUAGAGGUGAAAUUCGUAGAUAUUCGCAAGAACACCAGUGGCGAAGGCGGCUCACUGGCCCGGUACUGACGCUGAGGUGCGAAAGCGUGGGAGCAACAGG